GCAUUGGUGGUUCAGUGGUAGAAUUCUCAUCGCCACGCAGGAGGCCUGGGUUCGAUUCCUAGCCAAUGCA
rnacentral:tRNA from 1 species